rnacentral:rRNA from 1 species
UGAACGCUGGCGGCGUGCUUAACACAUGCAAGUCGAACGAACCUUCGGGUUAGUGGCGGACGGGUGAGUAACGCGUGAGAAUCUGCCCUCAGGAGGGGGAUAACAGCUGGAAACGGCUGCUAAUACCCCAUAUGCCGCGAGGUGAAAUGAAUUUCGCCUGAGGAUGAGCUCGCGUCUGAUUAGCUAGUUGGUGUGGGUAAUGGCUCACCAAGGCAUCGAUCAGUAGCUGGUCUGAGAGGAUGAUCAGCCACACUGGGACUGAGACACGGCCCAGACUCCUACGGGAGGCAGCAGUGGGGAAUUUUCCGCAAUGGGCGAAAGCCUGACGGAGCAACGCCGCGUGAGGGAUGAAGGCCUCUGGGCUGUAAACCUCUUUUAUCAAGGAAGAAGAUCUGACGGUACUUGAUGAAUAAGCCACGGCUAAUUC